GCAGGUCAAAGGAGAUGGAAUCUAACAUUUAGGAGGAAGGGUUGGCCUUUUUUGGGAGCAACAACAUCUCACCUUUUGUGAAAGAAAGAAGGCACAAUGUGUGGACAGGUGCAGUGUUGAACCAGAGUGCUAAGACCAGAAGAAACCAACAACUACUGCAUAGGUCUUGGCAAAAUCUGUGGAGUUACCAGGGUUGUCUUCUGUGAUGGUUGCUGAGGAAUCCAACUUUGAAACACCCAGCACAAUGUGCAGAUGGGCCAAUAGCUCUGGAAUGGCCAACUGGAAAAUGGUUCCCCCAAGAAACUAAAUAAUACCAGAACCAUUAAAGUAUUUCUCAGACUUCCCUGAAUAUUCAGUUUAGCUGAAUUACACAGGGAUCUUUAAAGUCUUAGCAUUGGUUUUUGUUUGUU